CCUACGGGUGGCAGCAGUGAGGAAUAUUGGUCAAUGGGCGCGAGCCUGAACCAGCCAAGUAGCGUGAAGGAUGACUGCCCUACGGGUUGUAAACUUCUUUUAUAAAGGAAUAAAGUGAGGCACGUGUGCCUUUUUGCAUGUACUUUAUGAAUAAGGAUCGGCUAACUCCGUGCCAGCAGCCGCGGUAAUACGGAGGAUCCGAGCGUUAUCCGGAUUUAUUGGGUUUAAAGGGUGCGUAGACGGGUUGUUAAGUCAGUGGUGAAAGUUUGCGGCGCAACCGUAAAAUGGCAAUUGAUACUGGCAGUCUUGAGUACAGUUGAGGUAGGCGGAAUGCGUGGUGUAGCGGUGAAAUGCUUAGAUAUCACGAAGAACUCCGAUUGCGAAGGCAGCUUACUAAACUGCCACUGACAUUGAUGCUCGAAAGUGUGGGUAUCAACAGGAUUAGAUACCCCAGUAGUC
rnacentral:rRNA from 1 species